rnacentral:tRNA from 1 species
CAGAAAGUAGUCUAGUGUAGAGAUACCAGCUUUGGGAGUUGGAGAUGGAGGUUUGAGUCCUCUCUUUCUGA